rnacentral:rRNA from 1 species
AGAGUUUGAUCCUGGCUCAGAACGAACGCUGGCGGCAGGCCUAACACAUGCAAGUCGAGCGAGACCUUCGGGUCUAGCGGCGGACGGGUUAGUAACGCGUGGGAACGUGCCCUUCUCUGCGGAAUAGCCACUGGAAACGGUGAGUAAUACCGCAUACGCCCUUCGGGGGAAAGAUUUAUCGGAGAAGGAUCGGCCCGCGUUAGAUUAGAUAGUUGGUGGGGUAACGGCCUACCAAGUCUACGAUCUAUAGCUGGUUUUAGAGGAUGAUCAGCAACACUGGGACUGAGACACGGCCCAGACUCCUACGGGAGGCAGCAGUGGGGAAUCUUAGACAAUGGGCGCAAGCCUGAUCUAGCCAUGCCGCGUGUGUGAUGAAGGUCUUAGGAUCGUAAAGCACUUUCGCCAGGGAUGAUAAUGACAGUACCUGGUAAAGAAACCCCGGCUAACUCCGUGCCAGCAGCCGCGGUAAUACGGAGGGGGUUAGCGUUGUUCGGAAUUACUGGGCGUAAAGCGCGCGUAGGCGGAUUGGAAAGUUGGGGGUGAAAUCCCGGGGCUCAACCCCGGAACUGCCUCCAAAACUAUCAGUCUAGAGUUCGAGAGAGGUGAGUGGAAUUCC